GAUGAACGCUGGCGGCGUGCCUAAUACAUGCAAGUCGAGCGAACAGACGAGGAGCUUGCUCCUCUGACGUUAGCGGCGGACGGGUGAGUAACACGUGGAUAACCUACCUAUAAGACUGGGAUAACUUCGGGAAACCGGAGCUAAUACCGGAUAAUAUAUUGAACCGCAUGGUUCAAUAGUGAAAGACGGUUUUGCUGUCACUUAUAGAUGGAUCCGCGCCGCAUUAGCUAGUUGGUAAGGUAACUGCUUACCAAGGCAACGAUGCGUAGCCGACCUGAGAGGGUGAACGGCCACACUGGAACUGAGACACGGUCCAGAGUCCUAGGGGAGGCAGCAGUAGGGAAGCGUCCGAAAUGGGCGGAAGCUUGACGGAGCAACGCCGCGUGAGUGAUGAAGGUCUUCGGAUCGGAAAACGCUGUUAUGAGGGAAGAACAAAUGUGUAAGUAACGAUGCACGUCUUGACGGUACCUAAUCAGAAAGCAACGGCUAACUACGUG
rnacentral:rRNA from 1 species